UACGAAGGGGGCUAGCGUUGUUCGGAAUUACUGGGCGUAAAGCGCGCGCAGGCGGCCAUUCAAGUCAGGGGUGAAAGCCCAGAGCUCAACUCUGGAACUGCCCUUGAAACUGUAUGGCUUGAGUAUGAGAGAGGUGAGUGGAAUUCCCAGUGUAGAGGUGAAAUGCGCAGAUAUCAGGAGGAACACCAAUGGCGAAGGCAGCUCGCUGGGACGGUACUGACGCUGAGACGCGAAAGCGUGGGGAGCAAACAGG
rnacentral:rRNA from 1 species